rnacentral:miRNA from 1 species
CUUCCGGUAGACGAGGUACAUGUACCUCGCCGGCUGGGUUUCUUCCAGUUGACGAGGUACAUGUACCUCGUCGACUGGAAG